rnacentral:rRNA from 1 species
AGAGUUUGAUCCUGGCUCAGGAUGAACGCUGGCGGCAUGCCUAAUACAUGCAAGUCGAACGAAGUACUUUAGGAAGCUUGCUCUCCAAAGAUUAGUGGCGAACGGGUGAGUAACACGUAGGUAACCUGCCCAUGUGCCCGGGAUAACUGCUGGAAACGGUAGCUAAAACCGGAUAGGUAUGAGGGAGGCAUCUUCCUCAUAUUAAAGCACCUUCGGGUGUGAACAUGGAUGGACCUGCGGCGCAUUAGCUAGUUGGUGAGGUAACGGCCCACCAAGGCGAUGAUGCGUAGCCGACCUGAGAGGGUGAACGGCCACAUUGGGACUGAGACACGGCCCAAACUCCUACGGGAGGCAGCAGUAGGGAAUCUUCGUCAAUGGGGGGAACCCUGAACGAGCAAUGCCGCGUGUGUGAAGAAGGUCUUCGGAUCGUAAAGCACUGUUGUAAGUGAAGAAUGCCACAUAGAGGAAAUGCUAUGUGUGUGACGGUAGCUUACCAGAAAGCCACGGCUAACUACGUGCCAGCAGCCGCGGUAAUACGUAGGUGGCAAGCGUUAUCCGGAAUCAUUGGGCGUAAAGGGUGCGUAGGUGGCACGAUAAGUCUGAAGUAAAAGGCAACGGCUCAACUGUUGUACUGCUUUGGAAACUGUCGAGCUAGAGUGCAGAAGAGGGCGAUGGAAUUCCAUGUGUAGCGGUAAAAUGCGUAGAUAUAUGGAGGAACACCAGUGGCGAAGGCGGUCGCCUGGUCUGUAACUGACACUGAUGCACGAAAGCGUGGGGAGCAAAUAGGAUUAGAUACCCUAGUAGUCCACGCCGUAAACGAUGAGAACUAAGUGUUGGAGAGAUUCAGUGCUGCAGUUAACGCAAUAAGUUCUCCGCCUGGGGAGUAUGCACGCAAGUGUGAAACUCAAAGGAAUUGACGGGGGCCCGCACAA